rnacentral:lncRNA from 1 species
GGGGGGUGGGGGAACGGGGGCGGGGAGGGGACGCUCUGAGAGCCGUUUGAGCGGAGCGGAGCGGAGCGCAGGCAUCUUCCGCAAUCCAUUCAUGCGCUGAAGCGCGUGCAGAGCUGCUGAUCGCUGCCAUUGUUACUCGCGGGCGGUGUGGGAGCCGAGCCUCCACUCUGGCGAGAGAUAAAUGGCCUCUGACAGCCCCUCCUCGCCAAGAGAGCUCCUCGGAUUUCACCGCGCGGCGGCUCUCAGGUCUGUGCCUCGCUCGCUUCCCGGCUCAUGUGGAAAGCCAGUCAGAAUGGUCAAGAGGUCUUUUCUCCUUCCUUCAACCUGAGAACUUGGCAAUGAUCAAAAGGAGGUGAUUAGUAACUACAGAGAGAAGACACCAGCAGGCAAGGAGUUAACAGAAGCUAAGCCCUUCACCUCCAGGACUGGGGAGUGAGAGCUGCUCACAAAGGCAAGAGGGGUCCUGGCUAAAAAGGCCUAAGUCGUAGAAGCCAACUUUGAAGAACAAAGUCGAGGGUCCAUUAAAAGUUAAUUCAGUAAAUAAACUUCAUUGGCGAUAAAACAAGAAAAGAUGGAAACUCCAGUUUGAAAUAGCCAAAAGAUAAUAAAAAGAAACAGCUUUGAUGUGGCCUUAACAUGUGCUUGUGCCUUUCUGCAGGUCCCUACAGUGACCCACCUAACUCGGGCCUCUCUGCGAGCAUCCUCUCCCUUUGAAAAGACCCCUUGUGUACAGGCACUGUUUGUUGGCGUUUGUCAUUUUGGGGCAACUCCACACAUCAAAGGGAAGCACAGUGUUCUUUUCAGCUCCCUGAUUCCAGCUGCCCAGCGAAGCAGAUACAAUUUCUAUAAAUUGGCCCUCUCCUCUGGGUUUUGAUUGAUCAUCACCAUAUGAGAUUAUUGAAAGUCUAAUGUCUUAUUUCACUUUCUCCAAGGGGUGAGGAGGGGAACAGUUUAUUGGAAGUCAGGCCAAGUGAAGACUCCGGUGUUGUGCAAUAGUAAUUUCCAUGUGCCUGGAUUUAUCAGCCUGCUGAAACUCCCGGGCAUCUCCUGUGGGUUCCCUGUGCCACUUCCCUCCCUCUCCAGGUCUUAGCUUCGGCCCCUAGUAACAAGUAGGGUCCAAACUGCCUUCUGGAGCCUUCGUAGUUGAAAGGAGAAAAUUGCUGUUGACUAAAAAUAAGGAAACAAAGAUUUAUUUUUUAAACAUAUUUCUUGGAACUCAAGAAUCCCCUCAUUGGCCUUUGUUUCCCACCCCAAACUUUUUUGGUUCCCUUUUGCCUCGAUACCAUCUUUCAUAUUAUUAAUGUUGAUUAUGGUUCCUCUGUCUUGUCCUCAGCCAGACAAAGGCUUAGGGAAAGUCAAAGAACGUGUUAAUUAUAUGUUUCUUGUAAACUGACUUUUCAUUUCCCCCUAACACAUUUAGUUGGCUUGGUGUUUAGUUUAACACUCAAUUGCUGCAAAUAUGCUGCUUAAAAAUGCUGUCUUUA